UACGUAGGGUGCAAGCGUUGUCCGGAAUUACUGGGCGUAAAGGGCGCGCAGGCGGCUCAUUUUGUCAGGCGUGAAAGCCCCGGGCUUAACCUGGGAACUGCGUUUGAUACGGAUGGGCUAGAGUUCGGGAGAGGAGAGUGGAAUUCCCAGUGUAGAGGUGAAAUUCGUAGAUAUUGGGAAGAACACCGGUGGCGAAGGCGGCUCUCUGGACCGAGACUGACGCUGAGGCGCGAAAGCGUGGGGAGCAAACAGG
rnacentral:rRNA from 1 species